AAUGAACGUUGGCGGCAUGGAUUAGGCAUGCAAGUCGAGCGAGAAGAGUUUUGAAGCUUGCUUUAGAACUCGGACAGCGGCGAAAGGGAGAGUAACGCGUAGUUAUGUGCCCUAGGGUCCGGAAUAGCCACGGGAAACUGUGGGUAAUGCCGGAUAAUAUCCCCGGAUCAAAGGUGUGAUUCCGCCCUAGCAGCAUACUGCGUCCUACUAGCUAGUUGGUGGGGUAAUGGCCCACCAAGGCAAUGAUGGGUAGCGGGUGUGAGAGCAUGACCCGUAUCACUGGGACUGAGACACGGCCCAGACACUCACGGGUGGCUGCAGUCGAGAAUCUGCGGCAAUGGGCGAAAGCCUGACCGAGCGAUGCCGCGUGCGGGAUGAAGGCACUCGGGUUGUAAACCGCUGUCGUAGGGGAGAAAGGUUCCGUGAAGAGCGGGACUUGCCCUAUCCUAGGAGGAAGUACGGGCUAAGUUCGUGCCAGCCGCCGCCGUAAGAC
rnacentral:rRNA from 1 species